GCAUUGGUGGUUCAGUGGUACAAUUUUUGUCUUCCAUGCAAGAGACCUGGGUUCGAUUCCAGACCAAUGCA
rnacentral:tRNA from 1 species